rnacentral:rRNA from 1 species
AGAGUUUGAUCAUGGCUCAGGACGAACGCUGGCGGCGUGCCUAAUACAUGCAAGUAGAACGCUGAAGAGAGGAGCUUGCUCUUCUUGGAUGAGUUGCGAACGGGUGAGUAACGCGUAGGUAACCUGCCUUGUAGCGGGGGAUAACUAUUGGAAACGAUAGCUAAUACCGCAUAACAAUGGAUGACACAUGUCAUUUAUUUGAAAGGGGCAAUUGCUCCACUACAAGAUGGACCUGCGUUGUAUUAGCUAGUAGGUGAGGUAAUGGCUCACCUAGGCGACGAUACAUAGCCGACCUGAGAGGGUGAUCGGCCACACUGGGACUGAGACACGGCCCAGACUCCUACGGGAGGCAGCAGUAGGGAAUCUUCGGCAAUGGGGGCAACCCUGACCGAGCAACGCCGCGUGAGUGAAGAAGGUUUUCGGAUCGUAAAGCUCUGUUGUAAGUCAAGAACGGGUGUGAGAGUGGAAAGUUCACACUGUGACGGUAGCUUACCAGAAAGGGACGGCUAACUACGUGCCAGCAGCCGCGGUAAUACGUAGGUCCCGAGCGUUGUCCGGAUUUAUUGGGCGUAAAGCGAGCGCAGGCGGUUUGAUAAGUCUGAAGUUAAAGGCUGUGGCUCAACCAUAGUUCGCUUUGGAAACUGUCAAACUUGAGUGCAGAAGGGGAGAGUGGAAUUCCAUGUGUAGCGGUGAAGUGCGUAGAUAUAUGGAGGAACACCGGUGGCGAAAGCGGCUCUCUGGUCUGUAACUGACGCUGAGGCUCGAAAGCGUGGGGAGCGAACAGGAUUAGAUACCCUGGUAGUCCACGCCGUAAACGAUGAGUGCUAGGUGUUGGAUCCUUUCCGGGAUUCAGUGCCGCAGCUAACGCAUUAAGCACUCCGCCUGGGGAGUACGACCGCAAGGUUGAAACUCAAAGGAAUUGACGGGGGCCCGCACAAGCGGUGGAGCAUGUGGUUUAAUUCGAAGCAACGCGAAGAACCUUACCAGGUCUUGACAUCCCGAUGCUAUUUCUAGAGAUAGAAAGUUACUUCGGUACAUCGGUGACAGGUGGUGCAUGGUUGUCGUCAGCUCGUGUCGUGAGAUGUUGGGUUAAGUCCCGCAACGAGCGCAACCCCUAUUGUUAGUUGCCAUCAUUCAGUUGGGCACUCUAGCGAGACUGCCGGUAAUAAACCGGAGGAAGGUGGGGAUGACGUCAAAUCAUCAUGCCCCUUAUGACCUGGGCUACACACGUGCUACAAUGGUUGGUACAACGAGUUGCGAGUCGGUGACGGCGAGCUAAUCUCUUAAAGCCAAUCUCAGUUCGGAUUGUAGGCUGCAACUCGCCUACAUGAAGUCGGAAUCGCUAGUAAUCGCGGAUCAGCACGCCGCGGUGAAUACGUUCCCGGGCCUUGUACACACCGCCCGUCACACCACGAGAGUUUGUAACACCCGAAGUCGGUGAGGUAACCUUUUGGAGCCAGCCGCCUAAGGUGGGACAGAUGAUUGGGGUGAAGUCGUAACAAGGUA